rnacentral:rRNA from 1 species
UAAGUGAAGAGUUUGAUCCUGGCUCAGAGUGAACGCUGGCGGCAGGCCUAAUACAUGCAAGUCGAACGGCAGCACAGUGGAGCUUGCUCCAUGGGUGGCGAGUGGCGGACGGGUGAGGAAUACAUGGGAAUCUGCCCAGUCGUGGGGGAUAACGUAGGGAAACUUACGCUAAUACCGCAUGCGCCCUUCGGGGGAAAGCCGGGGACCUUCGGGCCUGGCGCGAUUGGAUGAGCCCAUGUCGGAUUAGCUAGUUGGCGGGGUAAAAGCCCACCAAGGCGACGAUCCGUAGCUGGUCUGAGAGGAUGAUCAGCCACACUGGAACUGAGACACGGUCCAGACUCCUACGGGAGGCAGCAGUGAGGAAUAUUGGGCAAUGGGGGAAACCCUGACCUAGAGACGCCGUGUGAAGGAAGAAGGUCUUCGGA